UCCUCGGUAGUAUAGUGGCUCGCAUACCCGCCUGUCACGCGGGAGAGACCGGGGUUUGAUUCUCGCUGGGGAG